GGAAUUUUGCGCAAUGGGCGCAAGCCUGACGCAGCAACGCCGCGUGGAGGAAGAAGGCCCUCGGGUCGUAAACUCCUGUCCUUGGGGAAGAUGGUGACGGUACCCUUGGAGGAAGCCCCGGCUAACUCCGUGCCAGCAGCCGCGGUAAUACGGAGGGGGCAAGCGUUGUUCGGAAUUACUGGGCGUAAAGGGCGCGUAGGCGGAACGUCAAGUUAGGGGUGAAAGGCCUGGGCUCAACCUAGGAACGGCCUCUAAAACUGACGAUCUGGAGUCCGGAAGAGGAUGGCGGAAUUCCCAGUGUAGAGGUGAAAUUCGUAGAUAUUGGGAAGAACACCGGUGGCGAAGGCGGCCAUCUGGUCCGGUACUGACGCUGAGGCGCGAAAGCGUGGGGAGCAAAC
rnacentral:rRNA from 1 species